rnacentral:rRNA from 1 species
UACGUAGGCAGCGAGCGUUGUUCGGAGUUACUGGGCGUAAAGGGUGUGUAGGCGGUUCUCUAAGUUUGGUGUGAAAUCUCCCGGCUCAACCGGGAGGGUGCGCCGAAAACUGGAGGGCUAGAGUGCGGGAAGGGAGAGUAGAAUUCCUGGUGUAGCGGUGAAAUGCGUAGAUAUCAGGAGGAAUACCGGUGGUGCAGACGGCUCGCUGGACCGCGACUGACGCUGAGACACGAAAGCGUGGGUAGCAAACAGG